rnacentral:lncRNA from 1 species
UGCUAACAAAAAAACAAGUGUGAAUAAAGAGGAAGGAAGGCGUGAUAGAGUUAUCAUAAUCAUUCAUCUAGAAAUGAUGGAUCUGAUUGUUUUCUUUUUGUAAUUCUACAUGUUCAAAUGGUCACCCAGCCUAGAAGAAAGGGAUUUUACACAUUAUGUACAGUACUGGGUCUUAGAAUAAAAGUGGUGAUUCCCUUUAGUGAUUGUCUAAUCUUCUCUGGGUAAAUUAUGACAGAUCAGUAGAUAGCUGCAGGAAGAGAGUUACACGGGGCAUGUUUCCUAGACAGGCAAUUAUGCGGGGACCUCAUCAGGCUCCUAUGCUUCAACUUCCUUUCCUUCCUAUUCCUACCCCUUGACUCUGCUUCUGGCCCUCAGCAGUUCCUGCCUAAACAUCUGCAUAUCCUCUCUUUGGUGUCUAUUUUCUCAACCAAUAUUUGAACAGCAAAGCCAUAUUUUUAGUGAAAAAUCUCCACUGAGACCUCAUAAAUAACAUAAAAAUAUUUUAUAAAUACAAUAUGAUAAAAGUUUCAAAUUUAUAACUUACACAUUAUCAUAUCAAUCAAUGAGAACAGUUAUUGCUGCAGUUACAACCCCAACAUCUAUUUCUAUGUUUUGCCUUAGUUACACUGUAUCAAGAAAAUUCUGAAUCACACAGACAUAUUAUUCAACUAAAUAGAUUCAAAGCUUAAAAGAACAUUUGAAAGUAAAGUUUGUUUCUAAGUCGUAUUACAAGGCUUAUAAAUUCAUAUUUCUCUAGUCUAAGUACCCAAUUUGAAGAGAGUAGACAAAUUCUUUGGUGGGGCAAGAUAUUUGCUAUUAGGCAAGAAAUAAAGUUUAAAUAUAUUUGUAAUACCAUGAAAUGGUCAAGGUAUAUUUUUAAACUUUCAGAUACUUUAGUAUUUAUCUGUCAUAUAUCUGUUCAAUGUCUUGAAACAGUCAUUUUUAUUUUGUUUUAAUGUUAGUUUCAGGUGUUUCAAUUUUUUUUCUGACACUACUGGCAGCUGUAAGAAAAGCUUUGCCAAAUUAAAUCAGCUCAGCUCUUUAAAGGUAUUGGUAGGAUAUGCAAGAUGAUGCAACCUUGUUUAAGGAGUAGUUACCCAAAGGAUUUACUUCAUUAGAAGAUAUGCAAAAAAAGAUACUGUUCUCAUUUGAAAUACUUCAGUACCUUGCCACAAAGCAUUUAUCAAAUUAGCAUGAAAAGGGAAAUUCCUGGAAUUUAUUGACAAUUUUGUUAUAGAAAACUGAAAGAUCUUCAAUUUAAGAUUAUGCCUAAUAAAUCAAGAAUUUAUAUGGAAUUAUCCAAUACAGUUUCAAAAGGCAUAAGCAUUGUUAUAUCUUUUGAAAGACAUAAGCACAUAUAUAUAUAUGUGUAUAUACAUAAUGUUAAACUGUCCAGUAAAUGAUAAAAAGAAGUUAAGAGCCCUAAUUUUAUGCUCUGAAUAUUUUCUCUCAAAAUUACAUUGUAACUGCAGGAAAUAUAAUAAUAUUUACUGAUUUAACAACAUAAAAUAUAUCACGGAUUUAGGCAAUUUUUAUUACAUAGAAGGUGAAUCCCAAUGAAUUACUAGCAUUUACUUUCUUGUCAUCCAGGAAUUUUCUGUGAGAAUUGUUGACACAUUUUUUAAGGAAUCAGCAUACUAUUGUGGUUAAGAGAAGGUACUUUAGGAAGUCAAAGCCAUUCCAUGCCUGGCUCACUAGCUGUGUGGCCUUAGGUGGUUGUUUAAUCUUUUUUGUGCCUCAGUUUCUUCUUCUACAAAGUAAAGAAAAUGACAGUACCCCCCUAUAGGAUUGUUGUAAGAAUGAUUUGAAUUUAAUCAUAUACAGGCACACCUUUGACAUUUAUAGGACCUGGAACAAGAAUAUAAAGGAAGGCCCAAACAUUGUAUUUCUAAAUAUUUUAAAGUUAUUGAAAAUGAUAAUGAGUUUUUAAAUAAAAUACUUUCUAUUUCUUACCUUGCCAAAUACACUUUUAUAAGGAUCUGGAUAGCCAGUCUGAACUUAGGAUUCUGGACUCCUCAGAGUUCUGCUCUGGCACACAGUGGCAUGAGAACAACACGUUCUGCAGUCCAACCUCCUCCUCCACCCAUCACUUCCUCCUUCCACACCCAAGGGGCUUUUCAUGGGUGUGUAUGGUCACCUGACUGCACGUCAAAGCUCUGCAGUCACCCAAUAGUCACCCCUGGGCCAUCCCUCAGUCCUAUGGGUAUACACAUCAACAGUAUAGAACUGCUUCAAAUGGAUGGAUCCAGGUAAGGUCCCCAAACAGAUCACAGAAGUGUGCUUGAGGGCAGGCAAUUCUGGGAACCUGAAUACCUAAAGGACAGUCUGAAAGAGAUUGCGGGCAUCAGCUGGGUUUAACUCUUUGAUUCCAAGGACUUGUUUGCUCCAUGGAGAGGGAUACAACAAUAGGACCCUCUAAAGCAUGGGAACCACAAAAGACGCCCCUCUUGGCUAAAUCUAAGGGCAGUGUGAACUGUAAUUCACAUUACAACCUAAGGCUUUUUUUUUUUUUUUUUUUUUUUUUUAAAUGCUCUCACUAGUCUGUUUUCAAAGUAUUUAACAUUAGUUGUAAAGUUAGCUUAUGCUACACUUUAUCAUAUUUUAUUCAGCCUAAUCAUUCUCAUCACAUCCAUCAUCAAAUUGUAUUAAAAUUUUUUUAUUGUAGUUAACAUACAGUGUGUGUCAGUUUCUGGUGUACAGCAAAGUGAUUCAGAUAUAUAUAUGUAUAUAUACAUGUAUGUAUAUAUACAUGCACAUAAGCACACACACACGUAUAUAACAGUUUGCAUCUUCUAAUCCCAAACUCCCAAUCCAUCCCUCAUCCAGCCCUUACAUCGGAAAACACAAGUCAGUUCUCUACAUCUGUCAGUUUGUUUCUGUUCUAUAAAUAGGUUCAAUUGUGUCAUAUUUUAGAUUCCACAUUUAAGUGAAAUCAUAUGGUAUUUGCCUUUCUCUGUCUGAAUUACUUCAUUUAGCAUGACCAUCCAUGUUGCUGCAAGUGGCAUUAUUUCAUUUCUCUUUAUGGCUGAGUAGUAUUCCAUUAUACAUGCACACAACAUCUUUUGUAUUCAUUCAUCUGUCCACAAGCAUUUACGUUGUUUCCAUGUCUUGGCUACUGUAAAUAGUGCUGCUAUAAACACAGGAGUGCACCUAUCUUUUUGAGUUAUAGUUUUAUCUACAUAUAUGCCCAGGAAUGGGAUUGCUGGAUCAUAUGGCAAUUCUAUUUUCAGUUUUUUGAGGAACCUCCAUACUAUUUUCAUAGUGGCUGUACCAAUUCUUAUUCCAACCAACCAUGUAGGAAAGUCCCCUUUUCUCCAUACCCUCUCCAGCAUCAAAUGGUAUUUUUAAUUUUCUGUUUAUAACCAAAAAUAUACUUUUGGUUUCAAAUGUUAUUAUUUUACCUCUCCUAUAAGAAAAAAUUUUUGAUAAAAGUUAGACCAAAAAAAAAAAAAAAAAAGAAACAACGGAAAAUGUCCAGUAACAUUGUCAAAUAUAAAAUAGUCAAAUACAAGAAAAAGAGCAUCUAAACUUAACCUAAAUACAAAAGUAAUUACAGUAUUAUAUUAUCUCCACUCCAGGCAUUAUGUAUUACUUACUACAAUGCAAUUAUACAUAAAGAUUCUGAGGGCAGGCACCCAGCUGCUGUGCCUGCACCUCUAAGGUGUGCUAUUGCAAGGCUUAGGUCUAAAAAUAACAGUCUGACUAGAAUAUUCUCACAGGGCUGGGUGGGUCAAACACAUGAAUAAAUAUUCACAACAAUAAAGACUGAGCAUAAAAUCAAAAUUCAUGUAGAGGGAGAAACUGCUGAACAAAUGUAUUUUUUAAGGCACUGUAAAUGCUCAAAAGUAGUCAGAGAAGCUUUAUUCUCAGCUCAACACACAAGAAGUAACGUAAUCCAACAGCACCUUUUAAUACCAUGAAGUCUCCAAUACAAAAAUGCAUAUAAUAGGAAAUUUUGAGUAAGAAAAAUAUUUGCCAUUUUUACUAUUAGGGUGGUAGCAGACAGACCCAGGAGCACUGGCUGUGUCCAAUGAAGCACACAUGUGCUCACAUCUUUCUUUGAGACUCAUCAAGGUGCUUAGACACUGUCUCAGGAAGGCAGUGGCUUAGUGUGAGCAACACAAGCCUCCCCAAAAGCCAGGCAGGGUUCUGAUAGGUCCAGUAGUCUCUGUGAUGAGCCAGUUUGGUGCUUCCCCACUCAAUGAUGGCUGAUUUCAGGGAACCCACAGUCGACCCCACAUACUGAGAAUCCAUGACAGAGAUAUGAAUACCAACCUGGUUUUAUUACAGCAAGAUGCUUUGAACAUUUCCACUUUUAACCUUGUUUCUGGCUUGGAGUUGAUUAAGAUGGUGGGAUAGAAGUACUGGAACUCAACUUCUCUCCUAAAAACAACAAAAUUCACAACUAAAGACUGAGCAAUCUCCACCCAAAUGGACCGGAAACCAAAAAAGAUAUCCUACUCCAGAAGACAAAGAGGAGGCCACAGCAAGAGGUAGGAGGGGCGAUUUCACGAUAUAAACAACCCCAUACCUCCCCGAUGGGAAGCUCCACAGACUGAAAACUAACUGGUUCUGAGCCCCACAUCAAAGCAUCACGUGCAGGGAUCCAGCACUGGGAGAAAGAGCCCCUGGAGCAUCUGGCAUUGAAGGCCAGUGGGGCUUGUGCACAGGAGCUCCACAGGACUGGGGGAAAUGGAGACCCCAUCCCAGUGCACACGGAUGUUCACGUGCACUGGGUCCCAGGGCACAGAGAGAUCUCCAUAGGAAUCUGGGUCAAACCUGACUGCAGUUCUUGGAGGACAUCCUGGGAAAGCAGGGGUGGACGUGGCUUGUUGUGAGGGAAGGACAUUGAAGGCAAAGCUCUCGGGAAUAUUCAGCAGCAUGCCUUCCUCUGGAGGGGACCAUUUUGGAAAAAUCUGGCCCCACCCAUCAGUCAGUGCUGAGAAGCCCCAGGGCAAACAACAACCCAGGUGGGAUCACAGCCCCACCCAUAAGUAAACAGGCUACCUAAAGACCCCUCAGGCACACAGCUGCCUCUAAUCCCAUCCAGAGACUAAGCCCCACCCACCAGAGGGAUAGGAAUCAGCUCCACCUACCAGUGGGCAGGCAUCAGAAUCCCUCCCAUCAGGAAGCCUACAGCAAGGCCCCGUACAAUCUUUAGCCACAAGGGGGGCAGACGCCAGAAGUAACAGAGGCUACAACUCUAAUAUCUGUCAAAAGGUCACCACACCAAAAACCUAUAAAAAUGAACAGACAGAGAACUAUAACUCAGAUGAGGGAAAAAGAAAAAACCCUGAAAAACAGCUAAGUGAUCAGGAGAUUCUCAGCCUCCAGGAAAAAGACUUUGGACUGUUGAUGCUGAAGAUGAUGCAAGACAUUGGAAAUAAACUGAAGGCAAAGAUGGAUGAUAUACAGGAAACACUGACCAAAGAGAUACAAGAUAUCAAACUUAAGAAGAGAUGCAAAAUACAAUAACUGAAAUAAAAAAUUCAUUAGAAGCAACCAACAGUGGCAAACAGGAGGCAGAGAACGAAUAAGCGAGAUGGAGAACAGAUUAGUGGAAAUCACAGAUGUGGAACAGAAAAGAGAAAAAAGAUUGAAAACAAAUGAAGAGAGUCUCAGAGAACUCUGAGACAACAUUAAACACACCAACAUCCAUAUUAUAGGGGUACCAGAAGGAGAAGAGAGAGAGAAGGAGACAGAAAAAAUAUUCCAAGUGAUAAUAGCCAAAAAUUCCCCUAACAUGGGAAAGGAACCACUCACUCAAAUCCGGCAAGCACAAUGAGUACCAUAUAAAAUAAACCCAAGGAGGAAUACACCAAGACACAUAUUAAUCAAACUAACCAAAAU